rnacentral:rRNA from 1 species
AUUGAACGCUAGCGGGAUGCUUUACACAUGCAAGUCGAACGAGUGGCGGACGGGUGAGUAAUAUAUCGGAACGUGCCCAGUAGCGGGGGAUAACUAAUCGCAAGGGGGGCUAAUACCGCAUACCAUUGGCGGGGCCGAUAUCGGAUUAGCUAGUUGGUGGGGUAAAGGUUCAACAAGGCAACGAGCCGUAGCUGGUUUGAGAGGACGACCAUCCACACGGGGACUGAGACAGGGCCCCGACUCCUACGGGAGGCAGCAGUGGAGAAGUUUGGACAAGGGGGGAAACCCUGAUCCAGCCAUCCCGCGUGGAUAAGAAGGCCUUCGGGUUGUAAAGUACUUUUGGCGGAGAAGCGGUAUCUGCAGAAUAAGCACCGGCUAACUACGUGCCAGCAGCCGCGGUAAUAC